GAAUCCCCUGGCCAGAUCUCUGGCAUGGCCGAGGCCAGGAAGCGGCGGGAGCUGCUUCCCCUCAUUUACCAUCAUCUGUUGCAAGCAGGCUACGUCCGCGCGGCGCGGGAAGUAAAGGAGCAGAGCGGCCAGGUAAGCGUCAGAUGGCCCAGUACAAGAUCUAGAGAGCAGUAGCCCGCUCCCCUCCCGGGAGACCUGGCCAGCGGGAGUCAGAGAUGCGGGCUAGGGUGGAGGAAGAACAUUAAGCUCUGCUCUACUCCCUGCGACUUAUAGCCACUUCCCAGGGCUCAGUUUCCCCAUGGGUGCAGUGGGCGGGCCGGAAACUGGUCCAACUAGUGCAGCUUUGUAAUUCCCGCCCGGGUUCCCGGUAGCGGCAGGUUUAAGUUUCCCUAGUAUCUGGCCACGUGGCUCUAUGCAGUUUCCCUGGGACACCACAUGGGAGUCCAGCUGGAGUGGAUUGUCACCACUGUUGUUGGGAACACGGAGACGAAGGUCCCCUAAGUUGAUGAUCUAGAAUGCAGGGCGUGCAGGCAGGCCCUUGGCUGUCUUCGGUUAUGACAAGACUUGAACCCGUGGUGCGGUGAUUUCAAAGUUCAUUCAUUUGGCAACUUUUGUUUUGUUUUGUUUUUUCGAGACAGGGUUUCUCUGUAUAGCCCUGGCUGUCCUGGAACUCACUCUGUAGACAGGCUGGCCUCGAACUCAGAAAUCCGCCUGCCUCUGCCUCCCAAGUGCUGGGAUUAAAGGCGUGCGCCACCACUGCCCGGCUGGCAACUUUUAAUUUGGCCCUGUCGUGCGGAUGAUGAAAUGGGACGCGCCAGUUUCAGACUCCUCUGCCCGUCUCACAGCCUAAUAGCUGGUACAAAAAAAAACCAAAGUGACUGUACAGUUAACAUAUUAAGCUAUAGAACGAGAAAUUGGAGAUGCUAAAACAUGGGUGGAAGAACCUGGGUGGGAAAUAUCCAGGACUGCUUCCCUAAGGAUGUAGUAGCUGAUCUGAGAUCUCGAGGGAGAUGGGUAUUAGAAGCUCUGAUGCGAGGCUUCUGAGUGUCCUAGCCACCAGAAAGUUUGCUGAGCCUGAAGUUUGAAAUACAUGACUUGGAAUGGAGUCUCCCAAAGCAGACAGACAGGAAUGGCUGAUGGGUAGUCUUCCCAGAACUGUGUGUGAUUAAGUCACUGGUGAAAUGGAUAUUGACCUGGAGGAUCCCGGGUGUUGUAGUGUCUGCCUUUAAUCCCAGCACUCUAGAGGUAGAAGCAGGUAGAUCUAUUUUUUUUGGGGGGGGGGGCAGGGGGGUGUUUUGAGACAGGGUUUCUCUGUAUAGCUGGCCUUGAACUCAGAAAGCCACCUGCCUCUGCCUCCCAAGUGCUGGAAUUAAAGGCAUGCGCAACCACCGCCCAGUUGGUAGAUCUCUUAAGUUCAAAGCUAGCCUGGUCUACAUAGUGAGUUCAAGACCAGCCAAGGUUUGCAUAAUGAGACCCUAUCUC
rnacentral:lncRNA from 1 species